rnacentral:lncRNA from 1 species
GCCUGCCGCAGCCUCCGGCCGGCUCCACCGCCGCCUCCGCGGGGGCCAGGGUGGGCAGCCGCCGGCUUUCGAGCCAAUUUAUUUAAACGGGAGGCAGCGGCGGGUUCGGAGAGGCAGGGCAGCGCCUUCCUGCGCCAAUCAACUGGGAGACACGCGUGUUGCAAUCCCAUUCACGGCGGGAGCAGCACCGAUACAGCGUCUGACAACCCCCCCGGCCCGCCCCGGCCUUAUCUGUAGCCCGGCAACUCAAUUAAACCGUGGGGCCGCAAUUCCCCCGGGGACGCUCCCCCGGGGCAGGGGGAGGGAGCCCGGUCUGCGAGGACUUUCCCUGGCAGGAAACGGCACUUCUGGGCUCUCCCGAGCCAGCACAGUAAAGCAUCAAUAUUCCGCUCAUCUGUCAGAUCCUGGACAGCAGGAGAGGCUGGAGAGCCCGUGAAUUAUGUAACGUGCCCUCCCGCCGCCGCGGGGAGAUGCGGCCGCGAUGCCCCCCGCCGGCCGGGACGCCCCCGCGCCCCUCCCCGCGCCCGGCGCUGCCGCUGCCCUCCCGAGCCGCCCUCUCCGCGCACCGGGCGCUCGCCCCUUCCCACCCACCCCGCGGGACCCUGCGCCGCUCCCUCCCUCCCUCCUUGCCGGUGUCCCCGCGUCCCCUCCCCUGGCGGCCCGGCGCGGCGCCCGCGGCGGUCGCAGGGCGGCGGCCGGAGCCCCGCGCCCGGCGGAGCGGAGCGGAGCAGAGCGGAGCGAGGGCCGGCACCCCGCGGCGGCGGCGGGGAGCGCCCGCCCGCCCGGCCGGCACCACAGCGCCCCCAGCCCCCGCCGCUCCGCGCCUGCACCGCCAGCCCGCCCGGCGCCCCCACACAAAGUCCCAGCACUCGAUGAAAGAGGCUGGAGUUCCUGUCUUCACCCUUUCUCCGCUGCCUCCCUGUUCUACCAGUCUGUUCUGUGUCCAGGCAACUGCAAAAAGACAUUUCAAAGGCUCCUGCCGUGCCAUGUAGAUGUUUUCUCUUGUUAGUUUGGACUGCAG